UAAUACGUAGGGGGCAAGCGUUGUCCGGAAUUAUUGGGCGUAAAGCGCGCGCAGGCGGUUCUUUAAGUCUGAUGUGAAAUCUUGCGGCUCAACCGCAAGCGGUCAUUGGAAACUGGAGAACUUGAGGACAGAAGAGGAGAGUGGAAUUCCACGUGUAGCGGUGAAAUGCGUAGAUAUGUGGAGGAACACCAGUGGCGAAGGCGACUCUCUGGUCUGUAACUGACGCUGAGGUGCGAAAGCGUGGGUAGCGAACAGG
rnacentral:rRNA from 1 species